rnacentral:misc_RNA from 1 species
CCCUGCUCAAGGUUAUUAUCAAGGUCCUCCAGUGAUGCCUCCACCACCUCAAUAUUAUUAUGCAGCUCCUCCUCCAAGAAGGGAACCUGGCUUUCUUGAGGGAUGUCUGGCAGCUUUGUGUUGCUGUUUCCUGAUUGAUGAGUGUUGCUGUGACCCUUCUAUCCUCUUCAUCUGUUGAUAAAAUAUUUUAUUUCUCUCGGAUAUAUAAUAUUAGUACUAUUGUAUUUGUAUUAUUAGAUAGAUCUCUCGGAAUGUUACUCUUUGUUCAUUGCUUCAAAGUUGAUUGUUUCGGGUUUUUAUUA